rnacentral:rRNA from 1 species
UACGUAUGGUGCGAGCGUUGCCCGGAAUUAUUGGGCGUAAAGAGCUCGUAGGCGGUCUGUCGCGUCGAAUGUGAAAACCCGGGGCUCAACUCCGGGCUUGCAUUCGAUACGGGCAGGCUAGAGUUCGGUAGGGGAGACUGGAAUUCCUGGUGUAGCGGUGAAAUGCGCAGAUAUCAGGAGGAACACCGGUGGCGAAGGCGGGUCUCUGGGCCGAUACUGACGCUGAGGAGCGAAAGCGUGGGUAGCGAACAGG